AGGACCUGCAGAAUAUUUGCAAAAGGAUACAGUAAUGUGAGCUAUCUGAUCUGUGAGAUUACAUGUUUAAAAUAGUCUUUGUUCUUUAUUUGUUGAAUGUUAUAGCAAGAGCCCAAUGAUCAUUCAGAAUCUGGAGUGGAGGAAUCUAGCAUACCACCAGCUGCUGAACCAUCUGAAGGCCAAGCACCCCCACCAUCACCCAAUGACUUCCCUGGGGCUGUCACUAAAACACCUGAGGCUGGAUCAUCAGCAAGUGUAGUCAAGUCAAUAGAGACUACACAUGAAAUACUGGAGCAACCGAAGGUGUAUGAAGACCCCCUUGAAGUCUCGAUUACAUACAUGGAGAGACAUAAUGUUCUGCAGAUAUUUCAGGAGAUCACAGAAAAGCUGGUGUACCAGAAGCCUGAUGACCCCUUGCAGUUUAUGUUGCUGCAGGUGCAGUCUAUGAUAAAUGCCAGGCAGGCAACAAUGGAAGGAAUAUUGGAGAACGAAGAUGCGGAAGUGUUUCUGGAGUAGGUCCUGCACACUCCUUUUGACUGCUGCUGACCUUGUUGUUUUGGUCUUGCACAGAGCCUUCAUGGCACCAUGCCUUUGUAGCCAUUGGCAGUAGCUUGGAACAGAUCUGCUUGUAUCUCCAUUUCCUGAUUUUUCUGUACUAUGUGCUUGUGCUUCCCCUUGGGUUUAAGUCCUGCUACCAAGCAUUGGCUUGGAUGCACAAACUCUAAUCUGAAGGAGUGCAUGCACGUAUGACACAUCUUGAAGAUGCAAGUCUGCUGAG